rnacentral:rRNA from 1 species
GCCCCAGUGGCGAACGGUCGCGUAACACGUAAGCAACCUGCCCUGAAGUGGGGGACAACAUCCCGAAAGGGGUGCUAAUACCGCAUGUGGUCACGAGUCGGCAUCGACUUGUGUCUAAAGAUUUAUCGCUUCAGGAUGGGCUUGCGGCCUAUCAGGUAGUUGGUGGGGUAAUGGCCUACCAAGCCGACGACGGGUAGCUGGUCUGAGAGGACGAUCAGCCGGAUUGGGACUGAGAUACGGCCCAGACUCCUACGGGGGGCAGCAAUUAGGAAUCUUGCGCAAUGGGGGAAACCCUGACGCAGCGACGUCGCGUGAAGGAUGAAGGCCCUCGGGUCGUAAACUUCUUUUGAGUGGGAAGAAAUUUGACGGUACCACUCGAAUAAGCCCCGGCUAACUACGUGCCAGCAGCCGCGGUAAUACGUAGGGGGCGAGCGUUGUCCGAAGUUACUGGGCGUAAAGCGCGCGUAGGCGGUUAUUUAAGUCUGGGGUGAAAGGUUCAGCGCUCAACGUGAACAGUGCCUUGGAUACUGGAUGACUUGAGUCUGGGAGGGGGAAGGGGAAUUCCUGGUGUAGCGGUGAAAUGCGUAGGUAUCAGGAGGAACACCGGUGGCGAAGGCGCCUUCCUGGCCUAAGACUGACGCUGAGGUGCGAAAGCGUGGGGAGCAAACGGGAUUAGAUACCCCGGUAGUCCACGCCGUAA